rnacentral:lncRNA from 1 species
AAAAAUUAGCCAGGCACGAUGGCAGGAGCCUGUAAUACCAGCUACUUGGGAGUCUGAGGCAGGAGGGUCACUUGAACCCAGGAGGCAGAGGUUGCAGUGAGCAGAGAUCACGCCGCUGCACUCCAACCUGGUGACAGAGCGAGACUCCAUCUCUAAAUAAAUAAAUAAAGUGGGAAUAAAAUGGUAAAUAUUGAACAGAGUAGAAUAGAUGUUUGAGUGUGGGUGUAUGGGAGAAUAGAGGAUAAGGCUAAAGAGGGAAAAUAAAUAAGUGCAUUCAGGUGUGUAUGACUGAUGUGUGUAACUGAGGAGUGUGGCUAACUUUACCCUACUGCUCUAACGUAGUGUUCAACAUACAUUAGUCAAUAGACCAAUUGCUCUCUAGUUUGUUCGAAAGAUAGAACCUUUGGCUUCCAGCACUGUUCAGUUCGGUGGUCAUGAUAUCUUACAUGUGGAGAACUUAGUCAAAAUUAUUAAAAAUUCCUGUCUCACAGCAACCCCUAAAACAUGCAGGCUUAGGCGUUGCCCUAUCUGACAGCUUAGGGAACAGAGGGCAGGAGAUUAACACCAUUUGUGGGGCUGCCCUAUGCCAGGACUGGGCUUGGGACUUCAAGGAUGUGGUCAUGUUUAAAGUUCUCAGUGUCUACAAGAUGAUUGUUGCAUUGCUGCUUUAUGGAGGAGGGACCAGAGAGGCAGGCAGUUCAGCUGUUGUUGGCCCAAGCUUGACUGGCCGUGGAAUACCAGCCCCUUACUGCUAGCCCAGCGUGGGUCCCUAUGUCCCCAAAGCCCACAGCAGAAUUUCUGGCGUGGAUUACAGAGUGUCCUUGGGAGAAUGACUAUGACAGAAGGAGCUGGAUACAGGUACUGUCCAAGGAAAGUAUUGAGAGAGAGCAGGUCUGACUCAGAAAGAUUUGGGGCAGGGGGUUGGACUUGGGGCUGUGUGCAGACCGAGGCAUGGGGCCAAGGCUGAGCUGGGAGCAUGGGACAGGGCUGUGGGCGGGCACUUGGAGCCCAGGGCAGGGUUCACAGAGCUAUUUUCAGUUCUCUUGCAGGAUCUCCUUCCCAGCCUUCAGAAAUUGCCGGUCUGGGAGUUGGGGGCAAGGAGAAGAUCCUGAAUUAGACCUUUACGAGAAGCACAGUUUUGUCUUCAGUUUCCUCUCCCCCCACCCGGAAUGGCCUGAGCCGAAGCCAGCUCCCUCCGAGAAGUCAUUACCGCCUGACUUGCGUUUGAUAUUUAGACACCUUGGUCACAACAUCUUGCAUUCUCUCGGGAUGCUGAUUUCUAACUGCUCUUUGGCCUUUCCUGCAUUGGUCCUCCUCAGGCAGGGGAUCCCUGCUCUUCUAUAUUAAUGCUGGCUCCCCGUCCCCUGUCCACCAUGAGUCAAAGCAAUGUGAGUCCCUCACCAGAUGCAACUGCCCAGUCUUGGACUUUCCAGUGACCAGAAUCAUGAGCCAAAUAAACCUCUUUUCUUUAUGAAUUACCCAGCCUCAAGUAUUCUGUUAUAGCAAAACAAAACAGACAAAGACAGUUUACCUACUUACUUACUAACUCAGGAAAUAUUUUUGAGCAUCUAUUAUGUGGAUUACACCACAAAAGGAUGAACAAUGCAGACAUCAUCUUUGCUGUAAAAGAGCUCAUGGGCCAGCAGUCAAGAUAGAUAUUGAACAAGUGAAAGUCUGGUUAGAUGCACAACUUAAUGUCUGAAAUUCUCCAAUGGAUCUCCUGAAUGUGUUCUAUUUCGUAAAGGACUUGUUAGGAAUGCCUUCAUUUAACCUCUGGGCUUAGCCGCAUCCACUGGAUUUGUCCAUCUGUUGGGUGAGAUUGACUUUCUGUGGCUUGGUAAUCCUUGGGUUCCAG